rnacentral:rRNA from 1 species
AUUGAACGCUGGCGGCAGGCCUAACACGUGCAAGUCGAACGGUAGCACAGAGAGCUUGCUCUCGGGUGACGAGUGGCGGACGGGUGAGUAAUGUCUGGGAAACUGCCCGAUGGAGGGGGAUAACUACUGGAAACGGUAGCUAAUACCGCAUAACGUCUUCGGACCAAAGUGGUGGACCUUCGGGCCUCACACCAUCGGAUGUGCCCAGAUGGGAUGAGCUAGUAGGUGGGGUAAUGGCUCACCUAGGCGACGAUCCCUAGCUGGUCUGAAAGGAUGACCAGCCACACUGGAACUGAGACACGGUCCAGACUCCUACGGGAGGCAGCAGUGGGGAAUAUUGCACAAUGGGCGCAAGCCUGAUGCAGCCAUGCCGCGUGUAUGAAGAAGGCCUUCGGGUUGUAAAGUACUUUCAGCGGGGAGGAAGGCGAUGUGGUUAAUAACCGCAUCGAUUGACGUUACCCGCAGAAGAAGCCCCGGCUAACUUCGUGCCAGCCGCCGCGGUAA